UGGGGAAUAUUGCACAAUGGGCGCAAGCCUGAUGCAGCCAUGCCGCGUGUGUGAAGAAGGCCUUCGGGUUGUAAAGCACUUUCAGCGGGGAGGAAGGCGAUAAGGUUAAUAACCUCAUCGAUUGACGUUACCCGCAGAAGAAGCACCGGCUAACUCCGUGCCAGCAGCCGCGGUAAUACGGAGGGUGCAAGCGUUAAUCGGAAUUACUGGGCGUAAAGCGCACGCAGGCGGUCUGUCAAGUCGGAUGUGAAAUCCCCGGGCUCAACCUGGGAACUGCAUUCGAAACUGGCAGGCUAGAGUCUUGUAGAGGGGGGUAGAAUUUCAGGUGUAGCGGUGAAAUGCGUAGAGAUCUGGAGGAAUACCGGUGGCGAAGGCGGCCCCCUGGACAAAGACUGACGCUCAGGUGCGAAAGCGUGGGGAGCAAACAGG
rnacentral:rRNA from 1 species